rnacentral:rRNA from 1 species
UACGGAGGGUGCAAACGUUAUCCGGAAUCACUGGGCGUAAAGCGCGUGUAGGUGGUUUUGUAAGUGGAUGAUUAAAGACCGUCGCCUAACGACGGGACUGUUGUCCAAACUGCAUUACUUGAGGGUGGUAGGGGCAAGUGGAACUUUGGGUGUAGGGGUGAAAUCCGUAGAUAUCCAAAGGAACACCAAUGGCGAAGGCAGCUUGCUGGGCCACAUCUGACACUGAGACGCGAAAGCGUGGGGAGCGAAC